rnacentral:rRNA from 1 species
CCUACGGGUGGCAGCAGUGAGGAAUAUUGGUCAAUGGGCGUAAGCCUGAACCAGCAACGCCGCGUGAAGGAAGAAGGCUUUCGGGUUGUAAACUUCUUUUAAGGGGGAAGAGCAGAAGACGGUACCCCUUGAAUAAGCCACGGCUAACUACGUGCCAGCAGCCGCGGUAAUACGUAGGUGGCAAGCGUUGUCCGGAUUUACUGGGUGUAAAGGGCGUGCAGCCGGAGAGACAAGUCAGAUGUGAAAUCCACGGGCUCAACCCGUGAACUGCAUUUGAAACUGUUUCCCUUGAGUGUCGGAGAGGUAAUCGGAAUUCCUUGUGUAGCGGUGAAAUGCGUAGAUAUAAGGAAGAACACCAGUGGCGAAGGCGGAUUACUGGACGAUAACUGACGGUGAGGCGCGAAAGCGUGGGGAGCAAACAGGAUUAGAUACCCCAGUAGUC